GUUCAUCUGUGGGUGGGGAUUUGUUGCAUUACUUGUGUUAUAGAAAAAGUAUUGCACUUGUCCCGGCCUGUGGAAGAAAG
rnacentral:pre_miRNA from 12 species